rnacentral:rRNA from 1 species
AACAUGUGGUUUAAUUCGAUGAUACGCGAGGAACCUUACCCGCGCUUAAAUUGCAGAUGAAUUACGGUGAAAGCCGUAAGCCGCAAGGCAUCUGUGAAGGUGCUGCAUGGUUGUCGUCAGCUCGUGCCGUGAGGUGUCGGCUUAAGUGCCAUAACGAGCGCAACCCUUGUUGUCAGUUACUAACAGGUUCCGCUGAGGACUCUGACAAGACUGCCAUCGUAAGAUGUGAGGAAGGUGGGGAUGACGUCAAAUCAGCACGGCCCUUACGUCCGGGGCUACACACGUGUUACAAUGGGGGGUACAGAGGGCCGCUACCACGCGAGUGGAUGCCAAUCCCAAAAACCUCUCUCAGUUCGGACUGGAGUCUGCAACCCGACUCCACGAAGCUGGAUUCGCUAGUAAUCGCGCAUCAGCCACGGCGCGGUGAAUACGUUCCCGGGCCUUGUACACACCGCCCGUCAAGCCAUGGGAGCCGGGGGUACCUGAAGUGCGUAACCGCGAGGAGCGCCCUAGGGUACAACUGGUGACGGGGGCUAAGUCGUAACAAGGUAGCCGUACCGGAAGGAGCGGCUGGAGCACCUCCU